rnacentral:rRNA from 1 species
CCCUUAGAUGUUCUGGGCCGCACGCGCGCUACACUGACAGAGCCAACGAGUUCUUCACCUUGGCCGGAAGGUCUGGGUAAUCUUGUUAAACUCUGUCGUGCUGGGGAUAGAGCAUUGCAAUUAUUGCUCUUCAACGAGGAAUGCCUAGUAAGCGCGUGUCAUCAGCGCGCGUUGAUUACGUCCCUGCCCUUUGUACACACCGCCCGUCGCUACUACCGAUUGAAUGGCUCAGUGAGGCCUUCGGACUGGCUCAGGGAGGUUGGCAACGACCACCCCGAGCCGGAAAGUUCGUCAAACUCGGUCAUUUAGAGGAAGUAAAAGUCGUAACA